rnacentral:lncRNA from 1 species
UAAGCUUAGAAUAUCCAUUUUUGUUUUUCAGUUUUGAUAGCAUUUUUUUCUUUUACUUAUUGAAGUAAAAUCAAGACGGAAAGAUGGGAAAUAUGUAUUUUUUUUUUUGGCGAUUAUAUGACAUGAUGGGGUAUAAGACGAGAAAUACUAUAAUAUGCUUCCAACAAGUUAUAUGACGGGUCGGGUUGUAAGAUGGAACGGGUUUGACUUAAUAUUACAAAAAAAAAGAAUAUUAUUAAUCUCACAAUUCAAUACGGGUCAUUUUACUACUUUUUUAACCGACACUAAUAUAAAACAUGUAUAAUUAAACUAAUUUAGUAAAGAUUGAUAUUAUGCAAUCUUAAUAAUUAUUAAAUAAACUCUAACAUCUAUAAAUUUUUAAAAAUAUGAAUUUUAAAAAAAAAAAUUAUCCCGCGGUGUACCGCGGGUCAAUAUCUAGUUUUUUUACAUUAGGUAAGCUAGGAAUCAUAUAUCUUUUGUUUUUGGGUUUCUCUUUUUUUUUUUUUUUUUUUUUUGGGUUUCUCA